CAAAUCGUGGACGCAUGUGAUUAUUUGUGAUUAUCUUAUUGGCGUUCAAUGGCUUAUUCGACUUCCUGCUCUUCAUGCUGGCGUUCAAUGGCUCAUUCGACUUCCUGCCUCGUGCUAUUACUUUAAUUUAUUAACUUUGCCAGAUAGUAUUAACAGUUAUUACAAAGUAAUAAUUUAACGAAUUAACUAGACUAUAUGGCAGGGUAUUCGCAACAGCGAUUAGCCAAUUACUGCGAACCCAAGGACAAUACGUUAACAUCAAAUAGCAAAAAAACUAACAACUAACUUCAUGCAUUUAUACAACUAUAUAUUUAGCUAGCUACGGCAACUGAUCAUGCUAUGAUAAUAACAUGCACUAGCUGAAAAGAAAUUGAACAAAUCAAUGCAUGCUACCGACUAUAUAAGCAUAGCACGAGCAGUUGCCAUGUAGCUAGCUGUGCUGAAAUUUUCAAUAACAGCAAGAUAUUGGAGACGCUAAACUACGAACACAGUUGCAUUUCAGGCAUAAAGAUCUAAAUGUUCGCGGAUUUUCAGGAUUAUAAGUAAUGUCAACAGAGGUAAAAUAAUAAUUGAGUAAACAUGAUUUAAAUACAGCGAGACUGUCCG